rnacentral:rRNA from 1 species
AUGAACGCUGGCGGCGUGCCUAAUACAUGCAAGUCGAGCGAACAGACGAGGAGCUUGCUCCUCUGACGUUAGCGGCGGACGGGUGAGUAACACGUGGAUAACCUACCUAUAAGACUGGGAUAACUUCGGGAAACCGGAGCUAAUACCGGAUAAUAUAUUGAACCGCAUGGUUCAAUAGUGAAAGACGGUUUUGCUGUCACUUAUAGCUGGAUCCGCGCCGCAUUAGCUAGUUGGUAAGGUAACGGCUUACCAAGGCAACGAUGCGUAGCCGACCUGAGAGGGUGAUCGGCCACACUGGAACUGAGACACGGUCCAGACUCCUACGGGAGGCAGCAGUAGGGAAUCUUCCGCAAUGGGCGAAAGCCUGACGGAGCAACGCCGCGUGAGUGAUGAAGGUCUUCGGAUCGUAAAACUCUGUUAUUAGGGAAGAACAAAUGUGUAAGUAACUAUGCACGUCUUGACGGUACCUAAUCAGAAAGCCACGGCUAACUACGUG